rnacentral:rRNA from 1 species
GCGUUGUCCGGAUUUAUUGGGCGUAAAGAGCGUGUAGGCGGCUUGUCACGUCGGCUGUGAAAUCCCGAGGCUCAACCUCGGGUCUGCAGUCGAUACGGGCAGACUAGAGUUCGGUAGGGGAGACUGGAAUUCCUGGUGUAGCGGUGAAAUGCGCAGAUAUCAGGAGGAACACCGGUGGCGAAGGCGGGUCUCUGGGCCGAAACUGACGCUGAGGAGCGAAAGCGUG